GAUGAACGCAGGCGGCGUGCCUAAUACAUGCAAGUCGAGCGAAUGGAUUAAGAGCUUGCUCUUAUGAAGUUAGCGGCGGACGGGUGAGUAACACGUGGGUAACCUGCCCAUAAGACUGGGAUAACUCCGGGAAACCGGGGCUAAUACCGGAUAAUAUUUUGAACUGCAUGGUUCAAAAUUGAAAGGCAGCUUCGGCUGUCACUUAUGGAUGGACCCGCGUCGCAUUAGCUAGUUGGUGAGGUAACGGCUCACCAAGGCAACGAUGCGUAGCCGACCUGAGAGGGUGAUCGGCCACACUGGGACUGAGACACGGCCCAGACUCCUACGGGAGGCAGCAGUAGGGAAUCUUCCGCAAUGGACGAAAGUCUGACGGAGCAACGCCGCGUGAGUGAUGAAGGCUUUCGGGUCGUAAAACUCUGUUGUUAGGGAAGAACAAGUGCUAGUUGAAUAAGCUGGCACCUUGACGGUACCUAACCAGAAAGCCACGGCUAACUACGUGCCAGCAGCCGCAGUAA
rnacentral:rRNA from 1 species